rnacentral:rRNA from 1 species
CCUACGGGAGGCUGCAGUGGGGAAUAUUGCGCAAUGGGCGAAAGCCUGACGCAGCGACGCCGCGUGAGGGAUGACGGCCUUCGGGUUGUAAACCUCUUUCAGCAGGGACGAAGGGUUUCUGACGGUACCUGCAGAAGAAGCACCGGCCAACUACGUGCCAGCAGCCGCGGUAAUACGUAGGGUGCAAGCGUUGUCCGGAAUUAUUGGGCGUAAAGAGCUCGUAGGCGGCUUGUCGCGUCGACCGUGAAAUCUCCAGGCUUAACUUGGAGCUUGCGGUCGAUACGGGCUGGCUGGAGUGCGGUAGGGGAGACUGGAAUUCCUGGUGUAGCGGUGAAAUGCGCAGAUAUCAGGAGGAACACCGGUGGCGAAGGCGGGUCUCUGGGCCGUUACUGACGCUGAGGAGCGAAAGCGUGGGGAGCGAACAGGAUUAGAUACCCCGG